UAGGAAUGAAACCUGUACCAACUUAUGAAAGACAGGGAGAAGAUGUUUUCUGAGGGUGAAGUUAGGAAUUGGUGUUUUUAAGUUUUCCAAGGUCUUGCUUAUAUGCACCAGCGGGGAUACUUCCACCGUGAUCUGAAGCCUGAGAACUUGCUGGUUACCAAGGAUAUCAUAAAAAUUGCUGAUUUUGGCCUAGCACGUGAGAUCAGUUCACAACCACCCUACACUGAGUAUGUCUCCACACGGCGGUAUCGUGCUCCUGAAGUGCUACUUCAAUCUUAUCUGUAUAGCUCCAAAGUUUGA